UUUAAGACAGUAACUCAUCUCUGCUAUUAGCUGGUGAGAGUACAGAAUAACCUGAAAAAGAUUGUGGAGCAGACUUCUCACAAAGCAAGCUGCUUCCUAACUGUCAGUCAGAGAUUGGGUGCUGCUUCUUUGUGGAAAAACAAGGGGUUUCAUUUGACCCUCUUGACAAAAACAUGGGGUUUAGCCAAAAUCAUUAAAAUGUGGAAGUGAUUUGCUAUGUAACAGCUUCCUUCAUUUUGUUAAUGGAAAUAUCAAAUCUAAUUUUCCACACAUGAGAACAUUCCUCAGACACAUCUUUAUGUAAAUGUAGUUGCCAAGCUGUUUGUAAUGGUUAAAUUAUACUUUGAUGGGAAGUCUUCAGAAAAUACUCAAUUAGUUCAGGUUUUUUUGGAAAUGCUGCCAAUUACGUGAUGUUAAUGAGGUUUUUGUUGGUAAUGUAAUUAAAAUUCAACUGCUAUAACAGUUAAAGGAAAAAAUUAUAGCUCUAACAAACUUAACAUUAAGCAAAUAUAACAUGAAGUGGGGCUAAUUAGAUGUUGAUUAUAUGGUCCUAUGUGCAUUUGCUGCACACAACAGUAGUCUCAGUAAUGUGGUUAUUUUACAAAUAAGGAAUAGAAUUCAGUUAAAAUUACUGAGAUUUAACUCUCAAUUUCUUAAAAUGACACAGAAACCAUUGUAAAAAUGCAAUAAAAGAGAGAAAAAUCAAGCUCUUAUCACAGAUGCCUGAGGUUUUAGAUACCUGAAUAUGUCUAAAAUGGGAGUCUUGAGCAAUUUUCAAAAACAUAUGAUAUCAGCCUCCCAUAAAUUUCAGUAUAUUAAUUUCUCUUUAAAUUUCUGCAGCUUUAUUUCUAUUUAUACUUUUGAAAAUCCUAUAAAUUCUGGAAAUUUGGCUAGAAAAAUUGGCCCUUUGUGUAUACUAUAACUAAUAAAAUUAUGCAAUGUUUUUUUCACACCCUGCCCACAGGUCUGUAGUCAGAAGCUUCUGGAAGUAUUUGGAAUGAGGCACAUUUCAGGAAAAUGUGUCAAAUAAAAUAACAGAAGGUACCUCUUUCCCAAGGGAUGCAUUAGCUAUUUUCAUUAUUAUUCUGCCCUUAUGUCUGUUUGUUUCCUAAGGCAAUCAGAGUACACAUCUUCCAAACUGUGCAGCAUUUACCUUGGCUGUGAGGAAGCAGUUGUGGGGAUAAAGCAUGAAGAAAAUAACUGCAUCAUGCUGCUGUCAGGUUUUCUUCAUUUUUUUUUAUGUUUUUAAUUUAUUUGCCUUACACAGUGCUUUUGCCAAAGAAUGGGAAUACUUCUUCAGCAGAGUGUGACAUUUACACUGACUUGCUGGAGCAGUGUCUAACCUGAAAGCUUUAUGAUUGAGCAAUCAUGUAUUUUGAUGACCUGCAGGAAAAUGUCCUAAGUAAAAGAGUUGAGAGAAACAUCCCAGAAAAUUAUGAUAUUCAGAGCAGCUAGCCAGUUAUUGCUAACACAUUGGUCCUAUUUUUCUGAAAAGCCAUGCCAACUGGAACUGUUACCGCUAGAGCAUCAGGUUCAGUGUGCAACUGAUGUGAAAAAUACAAUUAAGACCAGGAAGAAAGAGGACAUAGGGAUCAGACCAUGUGGAAAAGAAGCAGUAAAUAAAAAGAAAAGUAAUAAAAAGGCAAAAGAAAGCUCUCAGAAGUGACUGAAAGUACAAACAGAAGGCAAUGUUGAGAGGAACAGAAGCUGUGCUCUUAAGUUUUCAGCAGCAGCAUUAGUAGACACUUACAUUAUAGAUAGAAAUGACAAAAAUGCACCAGGAAUCUCAGUAGAUGGAUCCAAGAGCAGAAAAAAAUUAUUACACUAACACAAGAAAUAAUAUAUUAAAAAGUUAUUUUUUGGACUGUGUAGUGAGACAGUGUUUCCCUAAACAAAUAUUGUAUUACUACAGUGAGGAAUUUAGGAUAGAGCUAUAGGAAGGAUCCGCUAAAUUUUGUUUGCCACUCUACUACUAGGAUUAUUACAUGUACAAACUGCCUCAAUUGCAUCAUAUGGGCUAUGGCAAUCAGGCUGUGGCAAGCCAGCAGAAAGUUCCCUCACUGAAGAAGAUUCUUUGCUGGCUUCAUGGAGCACUGUUAGGGGAAAUAAAAGGAUUUGUUGUAAUGUGCACGCUUUUUGCCACAACUUAGACUAUAGGCCACACCAGACUGGAGCACAGGCUGUCAUUAACAUUCAGGGAGAUGUUCACUGUGAUUCCAGACCCUUUACUGAAUAGGACUGAAGAUGGAGUCCUUCAUAUUUUAUCUGUCUCCUGGACUGCCUAGUACCUUACAUAUGUAAAAAUAAUAUUUGGGGGGGUCUGCCCUUUUGCAUUUUAAAUGUAUGAAAAAGUUUGUAAAGCAAAACCUCUCCAGGAAAUUCCUGAAGGGGGGGGUAUCUCGCUUGUUGCUUCAUAGACAGGAUAAAAGACCUGUAUUUCUGACUGGCAGAUUUUUUCAUCUGCCGGGAUCAUUGAUAAGCUUUGUGUUAAUCUGUCCUCCCUGUGGUCACCACAUGACUGAACAGUG